GACGUCGAUAUUCGACGUCAUAAACACGAACAAGUUUGGUGUUUAUGACGUCGAUAUUCGACGUCAUAAACACGAUCAACUUUGGUGUUUAUGACGUCGAUAUUCGACGUCAUAAACACGAUCAACUUUGGUGUUUAUGACGUCGAUAUUUGAUGUCAUAAACAGGAUCAAGUUUGGUGUUUAUGACGUCGAUAUUCGACGUCAUAAACACGAACAAGUUUGGUGUUUAUGACGUCGAUAUUCGACGUC
rnacentral:miRNA from 1 species